GGUGUAUUCAAUAUUCAUUUUUUGGUGAAUUCUUUGGACAAUUGUCAAUUGCCCACAGAAAUUAUCAGGAAUUGCGGAAAGAGAUAUCCAGCUUAUAGGCAGAGUCAGCAGCAUACGUGGCGAUUUUCGGGAAAAAGUUUUCGUAGCGUUUUUGAUGUUUUUUGGUUUUGUUGACAUCGUCUUCAACCUCUUCAUAGUGAUUUUUCAGCGACUUGAUGUAUUUUCUGCAGCGAUUUAAACUAUAAAUUUUGAUUUAUUACGAAUAUAUGAUAUAAAUGAAGUGCUUUGUGAUUUGAACAAGUUUGUGCGUUGGUUUGGGUUGCAAAGAGGCGUAAAUUUGCGUGGAAAGUGGGUGCACUUUUGUGGUCAGAAAAAAUCGAACUGUGCUGAUGCUACUUGGUUGCAAAACACUUUCAUUUUUAUUCAGUUUCAGUUAUUAUAUUUGAUGAUAAAUGCCAAUAUAAUCGCACUCAACCUCCACACAUUUUUCGUCUUAUUUGUUUGUUUUCAUUCUUAGGUUUUGUACUUAAAAUGACGAUAUGUAUACUAAACCCUACCCUGUUUAUUUAUGUAUUUAUCAUUAAGAAUUUUCCAUUAAAAUAGAUACAGUUCAGUGUCUAACAAAAUACAUAUGUAUGUAUAAAAACGGAGAUAAUAAAAUGAAUGUUUUUAACUUAA